rnacentral:rRNA from 1 species
UACGAAGGGGGCUAGCGUUGCUCGGAAUCACUGGGCGUAAAGGGUGCGUAGGCGGGUCUUUUAAGUCAGGGGUGAAAUCCUGGAGCUCAACUCCAGAACUGCCUUUGAUACUGAAGAUCUUGAGUUCGGGAGAGGUGAGUGGAACUGCGAGUGUAGAGGUGAAAUUCGUAGAUAUUGGGAAGAACACCGGUGGCGAAGGCGGCUCACUGGCUCAUUUCUGACGCUCAGGCGCGACAGCGUGGGGAUCAAACAGG